rnacentral:sRNA from 1 species
GUGACAGCCCUGCAGAGUGACAUCCCCAUUUAAUCCACAGCACAGGUACAGCGUGGCAGCAAAAGUGCAAGCUUCCCUCUGCGCUUCCCCAGUCAAUGACUCAGUCCUGAGCCAGAGGGACCAUGUCUAGGGUUGAAAGGGUACUUUGUCCAUGGCUCAAUCUGCUCUUGAUCUGCC